GGCUCGGUAGCUUAGUUGGAAAAAGUAGUUAUCUAGCGAAUAGGGAUAGUGAGUUCAAAUCUCAUCUGAGCUG
rnacentral:tRNA from 1 species